UACGUAGGUGGCAAGCGUUGUCCGGAAUCACUGGGCGUAAAGCGCGCGCAGGCGGCGAUCUACGUCUGGGGUGAAAGCCCGGAGCUCAACUCCGGGACUGCCUUGGAUACGGGAUCGCUUGAGGAUUGGAGAGGCAAGGGGAAUUCCACGUGUAGCGGUGAAAUGCGUAGAGAUGUGGAGGAACACCUGUGGCGAAGGCGCCUUGCUGGCCAAUUACUGACGCUGAGGCGCGAAGGCGUGGGGAGCAAACAGG
rnacentral:rRNA from 1 species